GAUGAAGAACUUAGCGAAAUGCGAUACGUAGUGUGAAUUGCAGAAUUCAGUGAAUCAUCGAAUCUUUGAACGCACAUUGCGCCCUUUGGUAUUCCAAAGGGCAUGCCUGUUCGAGCGUCAUUUGUACCCUCAAGCUUUGCUUGGUGUUGGGCGUUUUUGUCUUUGGCCCGCCAAAGACUCGCCUUAAAAUGAUUGGCAGCCGGCCUACUGGUUUCGCAGCGCAGCACAUUUUUGCGCUUGCAAUCAGCAAAAGAGGACGGCAAUCCAUCAAGACUCCUUCUCACGUUUGACCUCGGAUCAGGUAGGGAUACCCGCUGAACUUAAGCAUAUCAAUAAGCGGAGGA
rnacentral:misc_RNA from 1 species